CCUGAUUCCAUUCCGAACUCAGAAGUGAAACGAAAUAGCGUCGAUGGUAGUGUGGGGUUUCCCCAUGUGAGAGUAGAACAUCGCCAGGC
rnacentral:rRNA from 1 species